rnacentral:pre_miRNA from 1 species
UACUGCAUCAGGAACUGAUUGGAUAAGAAUCAGUCGUCAUCAGUUCCUAAUGCAUUGCC